GAUGAAGAACGUAGCGAAAUGCGAUAAGUAAUGUGAAUUGCAGAAUUCAGUGAAUCAUCGAAUCUUUGAACGCACAUUGCGCCCGCCAGUAUUCUGGCGGGCAUGCCUGUUCGAGCGUCAUUUCAACCCUCAGGCCCCCAGUGCCGGGUGUUGGGGAUCGGCAGCAGGGCGUCAAGCCCGCCGGCCCCGAAAUCUAGUGGCGGUCUCGCUGUAGUCCUCCUCUGCGUAGUAGCACAACCUCGCAGUUGGAACGCGGCGGUGGCCAUGCCGUUAAACACCCCACUUCUGAAAGUUGACCUCGGAUCAGGUAGGAAUACCCGCUGAACUUAAGCAUAUCAAUAAGCGGAGGA
rnacentral:misc_RNA from 1 species